CUCACCACAAAACAGAUACAUACUACGACUAGGAUGUCACCAGGCAUAGACUGCAAAGCUGUAACUCAAGUCACUAUUAAGACUGUAAUUACCUAUAAAAGUAUUCUACAUGUGUGUCCACGGAUGUGGGAUGUCCUAUUCCAAAACUCCCCAAUGAAAUAAAAGGGCUACUGAAAACCCAGCUCAACCGACAGAGGUCAGCGGCCACUGCACCCCGCCUCCACCAGCUUAAACUCCAGAAGGAGGCCACGCACCCAAGGCGUGCUAACCGGCUGGCUGGGAAGAGGUGAGCAUCUACUGAGAAACCCACUGCUGCCCGCAGCGGUGUCAGGCAGCCGGGGGUCUCCCCGCAGUGGCGCAAAGCGGACUGAAGUCGGGAGUGGCUAGGACCCUGCGCUGCCACGGCGGUGCUCUCGGCCAACGCACUUGUGUGCCCUCCGCCCGCCCACACCAGCGUCGCUUAACGGAAGAAGGCUCGAGUAGCAGCGGCGCAGCCAGGGCACCUGGGGGUGACACACGAGUGGGCGGGCGGUCCAGGGAGCCCCUGCUGGAAACCAGACGCUAAACCUUGCAGCUGUGCAGCUAAGGGAGCAUCUAUUUUCCAUUUGAGAGCAACGCGGGCAAGCGAGAACGGCCCGAUUUCGGUGCAGGGGUGCAUCCCGAGGGGGCGGGGGGCUGUUUCUGCGGCGGACCGGGCAGGGGAAACCGAGGCCACGCUGGAUCCGCAGCCCCGAGGUGUCCACGAGAGCUCCGCUCGCGCGAGGGCGCGGCGCGAGGCUGCCCGCAGGACCGGCCUGCGGUGCGAGCGGCUCUUGCCGGAAGCCGCUCGGAGAUAAAACAGGAAGUCCCACCCCUCCCUUAGAGAAGGAAAACGGAGAGCCGAAGGAGUCAAUCUAAAUACGAUGAGCACGUCGGGCUCGAAGGCAAGCGCUGUCAGCCCGGGAGGAGCGUCUGGGAUUUCUAGAGGGUCCCAGAACGGGUUCUUCCCGGGCCGAUCCCGCCUGCUUCCUGCCCUGUCCCUCCACCCGGCUCCCGCCCUCAGUAAGGGAUCCUGAGGGCGGCGCCGGAAACACGGAGACGGCCCAGAACGGCGCGGGACCCGAGAGGCCUACGCUGGCAAACGCAGCCCGCUGCCUCUCUGCCGGCUUCCCCGGGACCUGGAGUGGCUGCUGUCGCUUCUGGCGCUCCGAUUUCGAGAAAUGAUUUUCAGCUGUGCA
rnacentral:lncRNA from 1 species